rnacentral:rRNA from 1 species
UACGUAGGGGGCAAGCGUUGUCCGGAAUCAUUGGGCGUAAAGCGCGUGUAGGCGGCCCGGUAAGUCCGCUGUGAAAGUCGGGGGCUCAACCCUCGGAUGCCGGUGGAUACUGUCGGGCUAGAGUGCGGGAGAGGCGAGUGGAAUUCCUGGUGUAGCGGUGAAAUGCGCAGAUAUCGUGAGGAACACCAGAGGCGAAGGCGGUUACCUGGACAGUUACUGACGCUCAGGCACGAAAGCGUGGGGAGCAAACAGG